rnacentral:rRNA from 1 species
UACGUAGGUGGCAAGCGUUGUCCGGAAUUAUUGGGCGUAAAGCGCGCGCAGGCGGCCUCCUAAGUCCGAUGUGAAAGCCCACGGCUCAACCGUGGAGGGUCAUUGGAAACUGGGGGGCUUGAGUGCAGGAGAGAAGAGUGGAAUUCCACGUGUAGCGGUGAAAUGCGUAGAGAUGUGGAGGAAGACCAGUGGCGAAGGCGGAUCUCUGGACAGCUCCUGACGCUGAGGCGCGAAGGCUAGGGGAGCAAACGGG